UUUCCUCUCUCCUCUGUUUAUCUUGUGAAACUCAGAAACUUUCUCUCUCCUCUCUCCUUUCUCCUUCGUUUAUUCCAGAUCAAACUUUCUCUCUCCUCUUCUCCUCUCUCCUUUCUCCUUCGUUUAUUCCAAAUCAAAAUUCCAGAUCAAGCGAAUUCCAGAUUAAAAUUCGAUUGAUCCAACCGCUGUUCUUGGUAGUGUAAAAUCGAGGUUUUGUUUGCUCUUCAUGGUCGGAUCUGGACAACUUCGCAGCGGUGUUGUUUGUUUUGGAUGGUGCCACGGUGGUGCUCAUGUGUUUUGGGUUAAUUAACCAAAAGUUACCCUAAAAAUGGUAAAAGUUACCCUAAAAAUGGUAAUAGUUAUUCUUAUAAGGAGCCACAUAAAUGAUAUCCUGAAACAGAUAUAUUGAAGGUGCUUCUCACUGCAGCGGCUCGAUGAAUUUGCUGUCUUCAGUGUCUUAUACUUGGUGACUGGCGAGAGAAAGAGAGGCAAGCUAGAAGGAAGUGGAACAUCUUGUUAAGAUUGUGAAUUGCUCCCUUCUCCUUCUCGUCUGUUUUUUUUAGCUUUUGUGAUUUUUUUUGCAUUUCUUGUUAAUGUAUGGUUGUCUAAUUCUGUAUUUAUCUGUGUGAUUAUUAUGUUUGAACUUUUGAUUUAUCACUAAUUACUUUACUAA